rnacentral:rRNA from 1 species
AGUCGUAACAAGGUCUCCGUUGGUGAACCAGCGGAGGGAUCAUUACUGAGUUACCGCUCUAUAACCCUUUGUGAACGUACCUAACCGUUGCUUCGGCGGGCAGGGGAAGCCUCUCGCGGGCCUCCCCUCCCGGCGCCGGCCCCCACCACGGGGACGGGGCGCCCGCCGGAGGAAACCAAACUCUAUUUACACGACGUCUCUUCUGAGUGGCACAAGCAAAUAAUUAAAACUUUUAACAACGGAUCUCUUGGUUCUGGCAUCGAUGAAGAACGCAGCGAAAUGCGAUAAGUAAUGUGAAUUGCAGAAUUCAGUGAAUCAUCGAAUCUUUGAACGCACAUUGCGCUCGCCAGCAUUCUGGCGAGCAUGCCUGUUCGAGCGUCAUUUCAACCCUCAAGCACCGCUUGGUUUUGGGGCCCCACGGCCGACGUGGGCCCUUAAAGGUAGUGGCGGACCCUCCCGGAGCCUCCUUUGCGUAGUAACUAACGUCUCGCACUGGGAUCCGGAGGGACUCUUGCCGUUAAACCCCCAAAUUCUUUACAGGUUGACCUCGGAUCAGGUAGGAAUACCCGCUGAACUUAAGCAUAUCAAUAAGCGGAGGA